UGUCAAGUCCUCAUGGCCCUUAUGUCCAGGGCUACACACGUGCUACAAUGGGCGGCACAGACCGGAGCGGGGCCGCGAGGCCGGGCGAAUCGGAGAAAGCCGCCCUCAGUUCGGAUUGCAGCCUGCAACUCGGCUGCAUGAAGUUGGAAUCGCUAGUAAUCGCGCAUCAGAACGGCGCGGUGAAUACGUUCCCGGGCCUU
rnacentral:rRNA from 1 species